rnacentral:rRNA from 1 species
CCCCUAGACGUUCUGGGCUGCACGCGCGCUACAAUAAUACGCACAGCGAGUAUCACCGAGCUCGAAAGGGCAAGGUAAACAAUAGAAAAGGUACUGUAAUGGUUAUAGAUCCUUGUAAUUAUUGAUCUUCAACGAGGAAUUCCUAGUAAGUAUGUGUCAUCACCACGCACUGAUUACGUCCCUGCCCUUUGUACACACCGCCCGUCGCUCCUACCGAUUGGGUGAGCCGAUGAAACUCUCGGAUGUAGGCUAUUCAUAGCCCGCAGAAGAGAUUUGAAUCGUAGCGCUUAGAGGAAGGAGAAGUCGUAACA